rnacentral:lncRNA from 1 species
GUCUGAGGCAGGCGUUAGAUUACCAGUGGUCUGAGGCAGGCGUUAGAUUACCAGUGGUCUGAGGCAGGCGUUAGAUUACCAGUGGUCUGAGGCAGGCGUUAGAUUACCAGUGGUCUUUGAGGCAGGCGUUAGAUUACGAGUGGUCUGAGGCAGGCAUUAGAUUACGAGUGGUCUGAGGCAGGCGUUAGAUUACCAGUGGUCUGAGGCAGGCGUUAGAUUACCGGUGGUCUGAGGCAGGCGUUAGAUUACCGGUGGUCUGAGGCAGGCGUUAGAUUACCAGUGGUCUGAGGCAGGCGUUAGAUUACGAGUGGUCUGAGGCAGGCGUUAGAUUACCAGUGGUCUGAGGCAGGCGUUAGAUUACGAGUGGUCUGAGGCAGGCGUUAGAUUACGAGUGGUCUGAGGCAGGCGUUAGAUUACGAGUGGUCUGAGGCAGGCGUUAGAUUACGAGUGGUCUGAGGCAGGCGUUAGAUUACCA